rnacentral:rRNA from 1 species
GAUGAACGCUGGCGGCGUGCCUAAUACAUGCAAGUCGAGCGAACGGACGAGAAGAUUGCUUCUCUGAUGUUAGCGGCGGACGGGCGAGUAACACGUGGAUAACCUACCUAUAAGACUGGGAUAACUUCGGGAAACAGGAGCUAAUAACGGAUAAUAUUUUGAACCGCAGGGUUCAAAAGUGAAAGACGGUCUUGCUGUCAGUAAUAGAUGGAUCCGCGCUGCAUUAGCUAGUUGGUAAGGUAACGGCUUACCAAGGCAACGAUGCAUAGCCGACCUGAGAGGGUGAUCAGCCACACUGGAACUGAGACACGGUCCAGACUCCUGCGGGAGGCAGCAGUAGGGAAUCUUCCACAAUGGGCGAAAGCCUGACGGAGCAACGCCGCGUGAGUGAUGAAGGUCUUCGGAUCGUAAAACUCUGUUAUUAGGGAAGAACAUAUGUGUAAGUAACUGUGCACAUCUUGACGGUACCUAAUCAGAAAGCCACGGCUAACUUCGUG